UUCCCAUGGUAACAUUAGUUUGACAGAUUACUUGGCAAAAUAUAAAGUCAUAGUGCUUAUUCUGUGAUUUGUGGCCGAAAAUACCGUAAAAUGGUACAGACUGAUCCUCCUGCUCCACCUGAACACAAUAAUAACCCAAUGGAAGAAAGGUUAAACCGUGAGUUAAGAUUAAUUGAAGCGAUGCUGGACGAAAUGAUAAGAGAAUUCAGUAACAUCAAUAGCAGAUUUCAGAUAUACCUAGCUAUUUUAGAUUCCAAACUAAAAGCUUACGAACUUAAGGACCAGUCUAAGAAGUAAUGUAAUGUAAUUAAUUUAUUAAAAAUUUCAAUAAAGAUUGUUUAUUAAUUUCAUCUAGUAUUCUUUAAACUUGUUUGUUUAAUCAUUAUGUAUCCAUCAUCAAGUAUUCUUUAAAUUAGGGUUACAGAAUGUUCAUUAGGUAUAAGAAAUAUCAAGUAAUUGUGAGCUUUUGUUUAAUCCAGAUGCAUCCACGUAAAUAUCCAUGGUAAUAUUUAUUUGACAGAUUACUUGUCAAAAUACAAAAGCUAGCAGUGCUGUGAAUUGUUGUAGCAAAUACAGUAAAAUGGUACAGAUUAAUCCUUCUCUUGGACCUAAAAAUGUAGGAGACUUGAUUGAAGAAAUGCUGGUCCAUAAGCUAAAGCUAAGGAUACUUCAAAUGAGAGUGAACAAUUUGUCAGAAGAAAUCCAUAACCUCAAAAACAAAGUACGGAGAUUCCAGGCUUUAUGGGAGUCCAUAUUAAAAGCUUACGAGCAUGAAGAUCAGCACAUGUAAUUUAGUGUAAUUAAUUUAAUUAAAAUUUCAAUAAAGAUUCUUUAUUAAUUCCAUUUAGUAUUCUUUAAACUAGGGUUAUGGAAUGCUCAAUAUGUAUAAGAAAUAUCAAAUGAUUCAGAUUUUGUAUAAUCCUCAUGCAUCCAGCAAAUACAGUGAAAUGAUACAGAAUGAUCGACCUUCCCGACCUCAACGCAUUAAUACCCCAUUGAAGAAAGGUUAAAUCACGAGUUCAACAUGAUGAAAGCGAGCCUGGAAGAUAUAAGAGAAUUCCAUAACUUUCAUAAUAAAUCUCAGAGAUACCAAGCUAUUUUAGACUCCAAACAAGAAGCUUACAAACUUAAAGACCAGUCUAAGAAGUAAUGUAAUGUAAUUUAGUAAAUAUUUCAAUAAAUAUUGUUUAUUAAUCUCAUCUAGUAUUCUUUAAACUUGUUUGUUUAAUCAUUAUGUAUCCAGGUAAAUAUCCAUGGUAAUAUUAGUUUGGCAGAUUACUCAUCAAAAUACAAAAACUAGUAGUGCUUGUUCUGCGAGUUGUAGUAGCAAAUACAGUGAAAUGGUAGAGAAGAAUCCUCAUCUCCGACUUCAACGCAUUAAACCAAUGGAUCAAAGAAUAGUCUAUGAGUUAAGGAUGAUGAUAGCCAGUCUGGAAAAUAUGAUAAGAGAAUUCGAAAACUACCAUAUCAAAUUGCAGAUAUACCAAGCUACUUUAGAAUCCAAACAAAAAGCUUACAAACUUAAAGAGCAGUCUCAGAAGUAAUGUAAUGUAAUUUAGUAAAUAUUUCAAUAAAUAUUGUUUAUUAAUUUCAUCUAGUAUUCUUUAAACUUGUUUGUUUAAUCAUUAUGUAUCCAGGUAAAUAUCCAUGGUAAUAUUCGUUUGGCAGAUUACUUGUCACAAUACAAAAACUAGUAGUGCUUGUUCACUGAAUUGUGGUAUCAAAUACAGUGAAAUGAUAGAGAAGAAUCCUCAUCUCCGACUUCAACGGAUUAAACCAAUCGAUGAAAGAAUACACUAUGAGUUAAGGAUGAUGAUAGCCAGUCUGGAAAAUAUGAUAAGAGAAUUCGAAAACUACCAUAUCAAAAUGCAGAGAUACCAAGCUACUUUAGAAUCCAAACAAAAAGCUUACAAACUUAAAGAGCAGUCUAAGAAGUAAUGUAAUGUGAUUUAGAAAAUAUUUCAAUAAAUAUUGUUUAUUAAUUUCAUCUAGUAUUCUUUAAACUUGUUUGUUUAAUCAUUAUGUAUCCAGGUAAAUAUCCAUGGUAAUAUUAGUUUGGCAGAUUACUCAUCAAAAUACAAAAACUAGUAGUGCUUGUUCUGCGAGUUGUAGUAGCAAAUACAGUGAAAUGGUAGAGAAGAAUCCUCAUCUCCGACUUCAACGCAUUAAACCAAUGGAUCAAAGAAUAGUCUAUGAGUUAAGGAUGAUGAUAGCCAGUCUGGAAAAUAUGAUAAGAGAAUUCGAAAACUACCAUAUCAAAUUGCAGAUAUACCAAGCUACUUUAGAAUCCAAACAAAAAGCUUACAAACUUAAAGAGCAGUCUAAGAAGUAAUGUAAUGUGAUUUAGAAAAUAUUUCAAUAAAUAUUGUUUAUUAAUUUCAUCUAGUAUUCUUUAAACUUGUUUGUUUAAUCAUUAUGUAUCCAGGUAAAUAUCCAUGGUAAUAUUUGUUUGGCAGUUUACUUGUCAAAAUACCAAAACUAGUAGUGCUUGUUCACUGAAUUGUGGUAUCAAAUACAGUGAAAUGAUAGAGAAGAAUCCUCAUCUCCGACUUCAACGGAUUAAACCAAUCGAUGAAAGAAUACACUAUGAGUUAAGGAUGAUGAUAGCCAGUCUGGAAAAUAUGAUAAGAGAAUUCGAAAACUACCAUAUCAAAAUGCAGAGAUACCAAGCUACUUUAGACUCCAAACAAGAAGCUUACAAACUUAAAGGCCAGCUUAAGAAGUAAUGUAAUGUAAUUUACUAAAUAUUUCAAUAAAUAUUGUUUAUUAAUUUCAUCUAGUAUUCUUUAAACUUGUUUGUUUAAUCAUUAUGUAUCCAGGUAAAUAUCCAUGGUAAUAUUCGUUUGGCAGAUUACUUGUCAAAAUACAAAAACUAGUACUGCUUGUUCUGCGAGUUGUAGUAGCAAAUACAGUGAAAUGGUAGAGAAGAAUCCUCAUCUCCGACUUCAACGCAUUAAACCAAUGGAUCAAAGAAUAGUCUAUGAGUUAAGGAUGAUGAUAGCCAGUCUGGAAAAUAUGAUAAGAGAAUUCGAAAACUACCAUAUCAAAAUGCAGAGAUACCAAGCUACUUUAGACUCCAAACAAGAAGCUUACAAACUUAAAGAGCAGCUUAAGAAGUAAUGUAAUGUAAUUUAGUAAAUAUUUCAAUAAAUAUUGUUUAUUAAUUUCAUCUAGUAUUCUUUAAACUUGUUUGUUUAAUCAUUAUGUAUCCAGGUAAGUAUCCAUGGUAAUAUUAGUUUGGCAGAUUACUCGUCAAAAUACAAAAACUAGUAGUGCUUGUUCUGUGAGUUGUAGUAACAAAUACAGUGAAAUGGUAGAGAAGAAUCCUCAUCUCCGACUUCAACGCAUUAAACCAAUGGAUCAAAGAAUAGUCUAUGAGUUAAGGAUGAUGAUAGCCAGUCUGGAAAAUAUGAUAAGAGAAUUCGAAAACUACCAUAUCAAAUUGCAGAUAUACCAAGCUACUUUAGAAUCCAAACAAAAAGCUUACAAACUUAAAGAGCAGUCUCAGAAGUAAUGUAAUGUAAUUUAGUAAAUAUUUCAAUAAAUAUUGUUUAUUAAUUUCAUCUAGUAUUCUUUAAACUUGUUUGUUUAAUCAUUAUGUAUCCAGGUAAAUAUCCAUGGUAAUAUUCGUUUGGCAGAUUACUUGUCAAAAUACAAAAACUAGUACUGCUUGUUCUGCGAGUUGUAGUAGCAAAUACAGUGAAAUGGUAGAGAAGAAUCCUCAUCUCCGACUUCAACGCAUUAAACCAAUGGAUCAAAGAAUAGUCUAUGAGUUAAGGAUGAUGAUAGCCAGUCUGGAAAAUAUGAUAAGAGAAUUCGAAAACUACCAUAUCAAAAUGCAGAGAUACCAAGCUACUUUAGACUCCAAACAAGAAGCUUACAAACUUAAAGAGCAGCCUAAGAAGUAAUGUAAUGUAAUUUAGUAAAUAUUUCAAUAAAUAUUGUUUAUUAAUUUCAUCUAGUAUUCUUUAAACUUGUUUGUUUAAUCAUUAUGUAUCCAGGUAAGUAUCCAUGGUAAUAUUAGUUUGGCAGAUUACUCGUCAAAAUACAAAAACUAUUAGUGCUUGUUCUGUGAGUUGUAGUAACAAAUACAGUGAAAUGGUAGAGAAGAAUCCUCAUCUCCAACUUCAACGCAUUAAACCAAUGGAUCAAAGAAUAGUCUAUGAGUUAAGGAUGAUGAUAGCCAGUCUGGAAAAUAUGAUAAGAGAAUUCGAAAACUACCAUAUCAAAUUGCAGAUAUACCAAGCUACUUUAGAAUCCAAACAAAAAGCUUACAAACUUAAAGAGCAGUCUAAGAAGUAAUGUAAUGUAAUUUAGUAAAUAUUUCAAUAAAUAUUGUUUAUUAAU